rnacentral:rRNA from 1 species
GACGAACGCUGGCGGCAUGCCUAAUACAUGCAAGUCGAGCGAACAGAUGAAGUGCUUGCACUUCUGACGUUAGCGGCGGACGGGUGAGUAACACGUAAGGAAUCUACCUAUAAGCGGGGGAUAACAUUCGGAAACGGGUGCUAAUACCGCAUAAUAUCUUCUUCCGCAUGGAAGAAGAUUGAAAGACGGCUCUGCUGUCACUUAUAGAUGACCUUGCGGUGCAUUAGUUAGUUGGUGGGGUAACGGCCUACCAAGACGAUGAUGCAUAGCCGACCUGAGAGGGUGGUCGGCCACAUUGGGACUGAGACACGGCCAAAACUCCUACGGGAGGCAGCAGUAGGGAAUCUUCCGCAAUGGGCGAAAGCCUGACGGAGCAAUGCCGCGUGAGUGAAGAAGGCCUUCGGGUCGUAAAACUCUGUUAUAAGAGAAGAACAAAUUGUAGAGUAACUGCUACAGUCUUGACGGUAUCUUAUCAGAAAGCCACGGCUAACUACGUGCCAGCCGCCGCCGUAA